rnacentral:rRNA from 1 species
UCCCCAGGCGGAGUGCUUAAUGCGUUAGCUGCAGCACUAAGGGGCGGAAACCCCCUAACACUUAGCACUCAUCGUUUACGGCGUGGACUACCAGGGUAUCUAAUCCUGUUUGAUCCCCACGCUUUCGCACAUCAGCGUCAGUUACAGACCAGAAAGUCGCCUUCGCCACUGGUGUUCCUCCAUAUCUCUGCGCAUUUCACCGCUACACAUGGAAUUCCACUUUCCUCUUCUGCACUCAAGUUUUCCAGUUUCCAAUGACCCUCCACGGUUGAGCCGUGGGCUUUCACAUCAGACUUAAAAAACCGCCUACGCGCGCUUUACGCCCAAUAAUUCCGGAUAACGCUUGCCACCUACGUAUUACCGCGGCUGCAGGCACGUAGUUAGCCGUGGCUUUCUGAUUAGGUACCGUCAAGAUGCGCACAGUUACUUACACAUAUGUUCUUCCCUAAUAACAGAGUUUUACGAUCCGAAGACCUUCAUCACUCACGCGGCGUUGCUCCGUCAGGCUUUCGCCCAUUGCGGAAGAUUCCCUACUGCUGCCU